rnacentral:sRNA from 1 species
AGCUCUACGCCCGAAGAUAACCAUUUGACUUUAAAAACCGCUUGUGGAGUGGACAUCUUAAGAAGUGAAAUUUAUAAAAAAACAACACAAUUGUAUGAAGUACAAGACAAUGCUUUAGAUGCUUUUUACCUUGGCCUAACACUGAACUAUAAAGAGAUCUUCACUUCAAAAGAAAUUAGCUUAAAAUGGAUUGAACCAGGCCCCAAAGAUCUACUGGGUGCCAUCGUGACUAACUUAAAUACAGAUUUCCUGAAACCACUGCUGGAUAAAGAAACAGCCGAAAGCAACGAAGCGCUCAUUACAACACUA